GAUGAACGCUGGCGGCGUGCUUAACACAUGCAAGUCGAACGGAAAGGCCCAAGCUUGCUUGGGUACUCGAGUGGCGAACGGGUGAGUAACACGUGGGUGAUCUGCCCCGCACUUCGGGAUAAGCCUGGGAAACUGGGUCUAAUACCGGAUAGGACGAUGGUUUGGAUGCCAUUGUGGAAAGUUUUUUCGGUGUGGGAUGAGCUCGCGGCCUAUCAGCUUGUUGGUGGGGUAAUGGCCUACCAAGGCGUCGACGGGUAGCCGGCCUGAGAGGGUGUACGGCCACAUUGGGACUGAGGUACGGCCCAGACUCCUACGGGAGGCAGCAGUGGGGAAUAUUGCACAAUGGGCGCAAGCCUGAUGCAGCGACGCCGCGUGGGGGAUGACGGCCUUCGGGUUGUAAACUCCUUUCGCUAGGGACGAAGCGUUUUUGUGACGGUACCUGGAGAAGAAGCACCGGCUAACUACGUG
rnacentral:rRNA from 1 species